UCCUACGGGGGGCAGCAGUGGGGAAUAUUGCACAAUGGGCGAAAGCCUGAUGCAGCGACGCCGCGUGAAGGAUGAAGUAUUUCGGUAUGUAAACUUCUAUCAGCAGGGAAGAAAAUGACGGUACCUGACUAAGAAGCCCCGGCUAACUACGUGCCAGCAGCCGCGGUAAUACGUAGGGGGCAAGCGUUAUCCGGAUUUACUGGGUGUAAAGGGAGCGUAGACGGCGAUACAAGCCAGAUGUGAAAGCCCGGGGCUCAACCCCGGGACUGCAUUUGGAACUGUGUGGCAGGAGUGUCGGAGAGGCA
rnacentral:rRNA from 1 species